AGAAGAACGAACCAGAUUCGUUUUCUAUUCUGUGGAGGACACUUUAAAUAAUUCGUCGGGUUUGAAUCCGAGUGUUGUCAAGCAGGAAAAUAUUCCUGACAGGAAACAACCAGGCCUGUCUGUCAUGUCCGAGUGGGAACUAAACUACUCGCGCGACAGGGACGAAAACAAAACCAGGACAGAAAGAUGACUCGGCUGAAAGAGAGAGAGAGAAAUAUGGAAAUAAAUAAAAAUGCAAAUCUGCAAAUAAAAAUGUAUGUCGACGAGACGAGAGGGUUCUGUUUUCAACGUUCGUAUUCUUGUUGCGGCUUCCGGUGCGGAAAGUUCGUAUACCGCAUAGCAGCAUUAAUGUCAAAACUCAUAAAAUUUAUUAUUUUUUCAAAAUGAAUUGCCAAAUUUUUAAAAUAAAAAAACGCAACUUUCCCUAAUGAAGUUUUAUUUAGAAGUAUUUUCCUUUCCAUAAGCGGUGUAAAUUUUGUAAAUUUUUAUGAAAUGUAUAAAUGAAUUUGCUGGAUUUCUGUAAGUUGACAAAGGAUUCUUAAACUUUGCAAACUAGUGAAAGCAUUUGUGUGUAAGCGCAUGGAGUUUACUACGUUACACACAUCCGAGUGACUCAAAUUAUUGGUUUGGUGAACGUUGCAGACGAUAAGAUGCGUGGAGACGUGAAAUAAAUUGGAAUUGUGUAAAAUUGAGUUUAGUUUAAAGGAGAAACCGAUUUGUUGGUAUUUAUUUGAAGAAAGAGAUUUGUUUCCCAGACGAACUCUGUCAAAAUAAGGAGCACACUCAUCAUUCUCAAUUUCCGCUCGAUAUGUUAUCUUCCCAAUAUUUUACGUCCUUAGAGAUUGUUUCAAAGUGGGGAGAAAGCAGAUAAGAAUAAAUUAUGAGACAAUGUUUUGUAACGAUUUGAAAUGAAAAAGUGAGAAUUUCCUACUAGCAGUUUUAACAAUUUCUGAGGUCCGUCAUUAUUAUGUAACUCUCAAUUUUUCGCGUUUGGCUUUCAUUUUUUUCUAUUUUUUCCUCAUGAAUUUCAGAGUUUCGCAUUUCACCAUAAAUCGAAACCCCUGCCAGACGGAGAACUAUGCAUACUUCUUUAAAAUGUCAUACUUAUCACUCCCCAUAAACCUUUAAGCGCAUGGUAAACACUUAAAUUUGUAUUUGAAACAAGAAAUGGAACUAUUUGAGCCGUGUCAAGAUCCAG